rnacentral:hammerhead_ribozyme from 1 species
GUCUAGAUGACGAGUCCCAAAUUGAAUGAAACAUGCGUCCUAGAU